GAUGAACGCUGGCGGCGUGCCUAAUACAUGCAAGUCGAGCGAACGGACGAGAAGCUUGCUUCUCUGAUGUUAGCGGCGGACGGGUGAGUAACACGUGGAUAACCUACCUAUAAGACUGGGAUAACUUCGGGAAACCGGAGCUAAUACCGGAUAAUAUUUUGAACCGCAUGGUUCAAAAGUGAAAGACGGCCUUGCUGUCACUUAUAGAUGGAUCCGCGCUGCAUUAGCUAGUUGGUAAGGUAACGGCUUACCAAGGCAACGAUGCAUAGCCGACCUGAGAGGGGGAUCGGCCACACUGGAACUGGGACACGGUCCAGACUCCUACGGGAGGCAGCAGUAGGGAAUCUUCCGCAAUGGGCGAAAGCCUGACGGAGCAACGCCGCGUGAGUGAUGAAGGUCUUCGGAUCGUAAAACUCUGUUAUUAGGGAAGAACAUAUGUGUAAGUAACUGUGCACAUCUUGACGGUACCUAAUCAGAAAGCCACGGCUAACUACGUG
rnacentral:rRNA from 1 species